rnacentral:rRNA from 1 species
AUACUUCGGUAAGGUGAGUAAAGUGGCGAACGGGUGAGUAACACGUGGAAAACCUGCCCUCAGGUCCGGGAUAAUCCUUCGAAAGGGGGUCUAAUACCGGGUAACACCGCGAAUCGGCAUCGGUCUGCGGUCAAAGGCGGGGCAACCUGCCGUCUGGGGAUGGUUCCGCGCUUCAUUAGCUUGUUGGUGAGGUAACGGCUCACCAAGGCUGCGAUGAAUAGCCGGCCUGAGAGGGCGAUCGGCCACACUGGGACUGAGAUACGGCCCAGACUCCUACGGGAGGCAGCAGUAGGGAAUAUUGCGCAAUGGACGCAAGUCUGACGCAGCAACGCCGCGUGGGUGAUGACGCCUUUCGGGGUGUAAAGCGCUGUCGAGCGGGACGAAGGCGCGGAUGUGAACAGCAUGCGCGGAUGACGGUACCGCUGGAGGAAGCCCCGGCUAACUCCGUGCCAGCAGCCGCGGUAAGACGGAGGGGGCGAGCGUUGUUCGGAAUUACUGGGCGUAAAGCGCGCGUAGGCGGUGGAUCAAGUGGGCAGUGAAAGCCCCUGGCUUAACUGGGGAAGGGCUGGCCAAACUGAUCGACUAGAGUGCCGGAGGGGGAGGCGGAAUUCCUGGUGGAGCGGUGAAAUGCGUAGAGAUCAGGAAGAACGUCGGUGGCGAAGGCGCUCUGCUGGGCCAUAACUGACGCUCAUGGACGAAAGCCAGGGGAGCGAAAGGGAUUAGAUACCCUGGUA